UACAGAGACGUCGAGCGUUGUUCGGAUUCAUUGGGCGUAAAGGGUGCGUAGGCGGUGAGGUAAGUCGGAUGUGAAAUCCCAGGGCUUAACCCUGGAAGGGCAUCCGAAACUCCCUCGCUCGAGGACUGGAAGGGAGACUGGAAUUCUCGGUGUAGCGGUGAAAUGCGUAGAUAUCGAGAGGAACACCGGUGGCGAAGGCGGGUCUCUGGACAGUUCCUGACGCUGAGGCACGAAAGCCAGGGGAGCAAAC
rnacentral:rRNA from 1 species